UACGUAGGGUGCAGGCGUUAAUCGGAAUUACUGGGCGUAAAGCGUGCGCAGGCGGUAAUGUAAGACAGAUGUGAAAUCCCCGGGCUUAACCUGGGACCUGCAUUUGUGACUGCAUUGCUGGAGUGCGGCAGAGGGGGAUGGAAUUCCGCGUGUAGCAGUGAAAUGCGUAGAUAUGCGGAGGAACACCGAUGGCGAAGGCAAUCCCCUGGGCCUGCACUGACGCUCAUGCACGAAAGCGUGGGGAGCAAACAGG
rnacentral:rRNA from 1 species